ensembl:lncRNA
UUUUUUUUUUUUUUUUUUUUUUGUCUCCUUCUAAACUGUUUUUCCUACCUUUCCCCAGUUUGUUCAGCAAAGAGAAUCAGACCUUGCAUGUAUAUGUGCGUGUAUGUAGCAGCCAUACUUUUCUAUUUUUAUAAAAGUAACUUUUUCUGGCUAUAAAAAUAAUAUAAGCUCAUAGUUGAAAACUUUGAUAGUACAAGCAAUGUGCAAAGAAGACAGUAUAAAUCAGCUAUAAUCUAACACCCAGAGAUAAGCCACGGUGGCUUUUUUGGUCAACUUUGAUUUUGAAUUUUGUCUCUGCCUCUUAUCAGAUUGGCACCUCUUUGACUCUCACCUCCCAUCUGAGAAAUGCAGAUAUAACCUUCUCAUAGACAAGCUGUAAUUGCAAAUAACAGAUCCUUAAUAAACAUGAGUUGAGCAAAUGAUGCUAUUGAAGGGUGGAGAAAGUGAGUAAGUGGUAGGGAAAAAAAUCUCAGUACCCGCCCCCCCCCAUUUAAAGUUCUGUCAUUAAAUUCCUUUAAAGUGAGCAAACCUAGAGGGACAGAACCCAGAAUAGUGGUUGCUAGGAGCUAAGGGUGAGGCAGGUGUUGAAUACAAAGGGGCACGAAGGAGUUCUGAGAUUAGGAAACUGUUCUGUAUCUUGAUUGCGAUGGUAACUACACAACUUUAUAUGAUGUUUAAAACUCACAGAACUAUAUACUAAGAGAGUGAAUUUUACCACCUACAAAUUACACUUCAAUAAACCUGACCUUAAAAAAUAUUCAUUUAGGGUACAACCACUAUGGAAAACAGUAUGGUGGUACUUCAGAAAUCUAAAUAUAGAACUACCAUAUGAUCCAGCAAUCCCACUUUUGGGACAAAAACUUUACUUGAAAAAGACACAUGUACCCAUAGGUUCAUUGCAGCACUGAUCACAAUACCCAAGACGUGGAAACAACCUAAACGUCCACCAACAGAGGAAUGGAUUAAGAUGUGGUAUAUAUACACAAUGGAAUACCAUUCAGCCAUAAAAAAGAGAACAAAAUAAUGCCAUUCGCAGCAACAUGGAUGGAACCAGAGACUCUCACACUGAGUGAACUAGGUCAGAAAGAGAAAGGCAAAUACAAUAUAAUAUCACUUAUAUCUGGAAUCUAAUACAUGGCACAAAUGAACCUUUCCACAGAAAAGAAACCCAUGGACUUGGAGAACAGACUUGUGGUUGCCAAGGGGGAGGAGGAGGGAGUGGGAUGGACUGGGAGUCUGGGGUUAAUAGAUGCAAACUAUUGCAUUUGGAGUGGAUAAGCAAUGAGGUCCUGCUGUAUAGCACUGGGAACUACAUCUAGUCACUUGCAAUGGAGCAUGGUAAAGGAUAAUGUGAGAAAAAAAAUAUAUAUGUAUAUGCAUGUAUGUGCGACUGGGUCAGUUUGCUGUACAGUAGAAAAUUGACAGAAGACUAUAAAAAACUAUAAUGAAAAAUUAAAAAUCAUUAAUAAAUAAAAUUUAAAAAUAUUCCUUUAGGAGUUCCCUUGUGGCAGACCAAGUUAAGGUUCCUGCAUCGUCACGGCAGCGGCAUGGGUCGCUGCUGUGGCAUGGAUUCAAUCCCUGGUUCAGGAACACCGAGGUGUCGUGGAUGUGGCUAAAAAAUAAAUUCCUUUAAGACAAAGUCUUAAAUUUCUUCAUUGAUUUAAAUUGGUCCUUCCAGCUACUCUCAGCCUUUCCCCUCCAGUUUCUCUCUUUUCUGGACACUUGAGGCUUUUUACCUUCCUGAUGGUGUUCUGAAUGUUUGUUUAGCUCUCCUAUUAAUUGUCAUACUGGAUUCUUUGUUCUCUGUCUCCCCACUUUGCUGCAUAUUUUAUUUCCCUCUUUUGAAUUGACACUCUGUUGAGCUAGUCUCAGCUGUGCUUAACAAACAAAAUGUAUGGCUGUUUCACUUGCCUUUCUCUGGUGACAGAAGAGGUCUGAUCAGGGCAACUAAUUAAUUAUAGAGCAGGAAAAGAGAAAAGCAGAUCCUGAGUCCUUGUGUUAAUGGUUAAACAGGCAACCUUUAAAAUCUUCUAGAUUGUUCCUUCUAUGAACAAAGGACUUGGAACAAUUUUUAUAGAUUGUUCCUUCUAUGAACAAAGGACUUGGAACAAUUUUUAUGCUAAAAAAUAAGUAGAACACAAGCUCACAGUGGAACUUGUUAUAGCUACUUGUUGCAGCUCCUUUAAAACUGAUGCAGCUAUUUGAGGUAUAUCUGUUCAUACAUCCUGAAAUUUCCAGAACAAUCUGGAUUUCAAAUAUUUCAUAACAAGUUCUCUCUAAGACAUUCAUAUUGUGUAGACCAGAAAAUGCGUCUUAAUUUUGGUUCAUAAAAUAUAGAUGCCAGACCCAUAAGUUAAAUUUAUUAAUGCUUUCUUUGUUUUUCCACUCUGCAAGUAUUUUCCUGAGCAUCUACUACCAAGUGCUAGACUCUCUAAAAGGCUCUGGAGAAACAGAAAUGAAAUCAUUCAUGAGAAACUAAUGUUCAGUUUCUCCGGAAAACAGCUGCCUACAGGAAAAGACCAGAGAUAAGGCAAUUCACGUACAAUAUAAUUUACUGAGAAACUUUUAAACUUUAUUGUAUAAAAGUCAUAUAGACGUUUUCCAACAGUUGUCUUAGGAAGAUUUCAUUAGCUAUCUAUUAAAAAGGCGGUAUUUAAGUAAAUAUAUACUAUUGCAUACAUUUUAUAUAGUUUUCAAUAGGAGAGAUUGUGCUCUAUUCCCAGGGCUUUUGCUAGCAUAGCUUUGGUUAGAACGCAUCCUCUCACUAGCUUGACCAGCUUGUAAUUACUUCCAAUCACAGCUGGUAUGUCCUGACUUCUGCCAGAUGCCAGGUAAUUUGCCCCCACUUUUUCUAUUGCUCAUUCAACUCAGUGGAGUAGGCAUUGUUCUUCCAGAUUAUAGACUAGGUGGAGAGUGGGUUUUAGAGAGGGUGAGGGACCCGUCCAGUGCCAGCAGCCAACUGGAGGUGCGGGGGAGAUCUCGUGUGCGCUGCCUGACUGAAGGCAGGGUGCUCUUCUCCAGGCCACACAGCCCUUCAUUGUUGGGGUGCUUUUAACUGCGUAUCAGGCACGCAUUUAUUUAAAUCUCCGCAGCUACCGGAAAGGAAAGUGAGAAAGGGGGAAGUAAUUAGGAGGCAGCUACUGCCAAGGCAUCCCUUGUAAUCCAGUCUUCUUGCUGCAGCCAGCGCAAUCGGUUUAAGUGCCAACUGAGCUGCGUUUCUCCACUCCUCAGAAUGUUCUAAUUUAUUUAUUAUUUACUUUUAAGGUUACAUUUUUUUUUUACUGAGGUAACAUUGGUUCAUAACAUUAUAUAUUUCAUGUGUUUUACAUUAUCCUUCUACUUCUGUAUACACUAUGGCUUGCUCAUCACCAGAGAUCUCCUUUCCGUCUGUCACCAUACACUGGUGACAUACACCAUACUCCAUGACCCAUUUCAUCCUCCCCCUCCCCUUCCCUUAUGGAAACCACUGCUCUGUUCUCUGUAUCUAUGUGUUUGUUUUUGUUUGUUUUCGUUUCUUCAUUUAUUUUGUAUUUGUUGGCUUCCCAUUUGUACUGGGCACAAGGUCCGUUCCUAUCUUUCCAGUCACAUGAAGCCAUACUGUCCCCCGUCCUCCCCUGGAUCUGUCCCAGCCAUGCUGGCCUCUUUUUUUUCUUCCCUCUAAGUGCUGUGUCCUCUGUCCUGUCCCUGGGUCUUCCUUCCUACAGUUCCUUUUGCCUAGAAGAUGGCCCAUAAGCCCUUCUGGUUUUUCACCCGUCGGUUUAAGUCUGCCUCUGGUUCUCAGUGCACUGCAGCCCUUGCAGAAAGCCUGCCCUACUGCCCUCACCCCAUGCACAAGCCCACGUAUUCACCUGCAUUGCCCCUUCUUGGAGGCCAUCAUCAGACUUCUGAAUCACUCAGACUAUAGUGAGUGAUUUACAGAUAGAUGUAUAUUUACAGAUAGAUGCAAUCUGAUUCUGUGAAAAUGCCUCCUAGAGAGAGUUCUAGGGAGGCAAGGGUGCUGCAGCUUUUGUUCACCAUUACCCUGGCCCUUAGCACCAUGUGCAAAGAAGGCACCCAAAAAUAACUCCCGGGAGAAGGAAUCCCUCAGUCUUUCCUGUCACGUCCACUGGGUUAGGAUCUCUUGCCCUGCACUCUCGGUAAGACCCUGAACUCUUCUUCUUGAGUCCUGGAAUUAGAGACUUGGCUGAUUAUUUGAUUAUUUGUCUCUUCCUCUGAGGGCCCCAUAAAGGCAGGGCUUGUGUUUACUUUCCUCACCAUUGUGAGCUUAGCACAGGGGACCCUCAAUAAAUUUUUGUUGAAUGGGCAAGCCAAGGGGCCUAUUGACAAAAAGGGAGUGAUUCAGAAGUCUGAGUGUAAAGGCUACAUAAAGCAGCUCAUUAUCUACUAAUUCAAAUUCGUAUUAAUUUAAUACAUCAUCUAGUAGUGUUAUUAGCAACUCCCAAGCUGAAUAAAAUAUUACUGCUACAAACAAAGCCCAAGGAAACCCUUCUCACUGGUCCAAAGCCUCCUCCUAUGACCAGCUAGCUCUGCAGCCGGUGAAGGUAAAUUACUUCUCUUCUAGGCAGAGGGAGUUUUUCCAUGAGAAGCUUGAGCUUCAGGAAGUCACCUGUGGUACACCUUCAGGGCCCUGGGAAGGUCAUAGCUAUGUGUGCACAGGGCCAUAUGUUUUUGUAAAAUUAGCAAAAGUAGAGUAUUUUAAAUCACAAUUAAAGGUCCUGCCCGUCUCCACUCUGACUUCCCUUCUGUCACCUGGUGGAGGGGAUUAGAGUGGCCAUGGGCAUCUUAGAGCUCUGGCCAAGGGGAAGUUGAGUUGGGGACAUGCUGAGUUUGGCUUUAGUGAGAUAUGUGAUUUUUAAGCACUUCUAUGUAUAGUUAAGUCAUGGCUAUUAGUCCCACUGUGAGAAUGGCUUCUGGGAAUACCCCAACUGCCCAUGGUGACAACACCUUACCUGGUAUUGUGACACCAAGCUAGUGGCUAGUAUCAAUGAGGUUCCUUCUGAGAACAACUUGCUUUGGUGCUGAGGGCUGUGAGGUUAUUGGUGGUGUUUUCUCUAUAGUCCUCAUACUUCCUGAUUUCCUGAAAAUGGCCUUUUGGUCUUAAUUCUCCUGGUCUAUCCAGCGGUGGUGUCAGCCUCUAACUACCUGCAUUAUCAUCCUUUGAAGCAUUACCUAAAAUACCCAGAAGCUUCUUUUUCUCUGGCUGAAGUCUGACCAGGCAACAAAAAUUCUGCCUGUGGCUUUGGUACAACCUUCAUGGCAGAGCCGUCUCUGGGCACCUUAAGUGCCCGUCACCCCAUCUCUGCUCCCUUAUCCUUUGGAUGUGCCCUGUGGAGCUCAAAGGCCAGGAGGUACACUGCUUUCUCCCUAAGACUCAAAACAAGCCCCCUCAACUGUGCCUUGUGAAAAAAAGAAAAAAAAAAAAAAAGAAAAAAAA